GAUGAUUAAAUGUCAUUUUGGGACACGGGCCCAUUUUGACUGAAAUGUCAUUUUGGGCCACGGACCCAUUUUGACAUAAUUUGGAUAGGCUCCUUACAAAGGGACACGGUACCUGGGACCGAGCCCUACUAGGUGUGAAUGACAUGAUGCAAAUAAAAUGACCUAAAGGCUGACCUAAAUUUUGGGGUUCACUAACAAGGUAAUUCGAGGGAGGGUAUGGUCGAUAGUGGCUUCUCAAGCUUUCCACCACUCCCUACGUCCGACGGCCCCCCUCCUAAAUUGGGGUGACUCUACAAAGAGUUCGUGCACGCGGCGCGUGCUCCUGGAGUUCACUAACAAGGCAAUUCGGGGGCGCGUAUGGUCGAUAGUGGCUGAUCAAGCUUUCCACCCACUCCAUACAUCUGACGCCCCCUCCCUCCUAAAUUAAGGGUGACUCAACAAAGAGUUCGUGCAUGCGACGCGUGCUUCGAUACUUGUUGCGGGAAGAAUUGACCGGGUAAUGCAUAUGAUGACAGUUAUGAAGAAGUAAACACAUAAAGCAAAACUGUAAACACAUAAACAACUAGCAAAUAACAAAAUAUAAGACACAAUAAAAAUUAAGCAAAGCUAAUGAAAAAGCAUAAAAAAAAACUCAACCAAAUAUUCUAAAAGCCAACAAAAUCAAGUAGUAGCUCGAACCCGCAAAUUUCCAGCAGAGUCGCCAGAGAUGUCACACCCAUUUUUAAACCAAACUCUACUUAAUCCUCUUAAAUUAAUAAAAGAUUUAGUAAAAGUUUGAAA
rnacentral:lncRNA from 1 species